GCUGUGCCUCACGGCGACUGGCGGACUGCUUCGAGCAGGAACACAGAGGAGCGAGAUACGCACGCGCCUUCCCCUUUUAGAACAAAAACUUAUACAAUCGGAUAGCGAAGAUAGAUAGGCAGCGAAAGAAUUCGUCCACAGCGCAGGCAGACGGAACGCAGGGACGUUUCUCACAUCGUCCACUACGCUUCCCUCGUCUACCUGCGCAAGAGCAAAAAAACAGGUAGGUGGCCAGACGCACCUUGAGACCUGCCGCGAUCAUAACGUGGGCAUCCGAUUGCCUGACCACACCUGCGCAGGAAGGAGGGGCAAAUCUUGCUUGAUAACCCCUUCUCGGGCACGUGGCACUGCAGGCAGGCUUUCGUUUUUUUUGGCGCGGAGAGUCGAUAAAGGAUGUUUGACUCACUGCGGCUGUUGGUACUGUCGUUCCUGUAUUACCUCGGCUUCACCUAUGCCGCCUUUGCAGCGCUCAAGCAGCGUUCUACGACGGUGGUGACGGCGGGGCCGCCGGCGCCAUCGCCGGCCACUGCGAAUGCGCCUCGCCCAGGCACCAAGGUAGAAAUCGGCGUCCCUGCGUUGAAGCUUAUGAUCAUGCUUACAACCAUGGCACUGCUCUCGCUUGUCGGGGCUGACUGGUUUCCGCUGUUUGCGGAGAUGCGCGUGAUUUUCAUGUACACACUCCUCUAUGCGCCCCCUUUGGCCCAGCAGGAGCUGUAUGAUCAGCUGUUUGCCCCUCUGCUGGUUCGCGGUGGCGCCUUGGCGCUCUCUCCGCAGACAAGGGACGUAGUUGCCCGCACAUUGUCGCUGUUUGUGGUGCGCCGCUGCAUUGACGUCGCGAUCGCGGCCAUGAACUACACGGAGUGCAGUCGUAUCCUCGGGGCCGAUGCGGCGCGGGACAUCUUGAGUAGCCUGCAGUUUUGCCAGCGCGCACUGCAGCAGACUGCCGCUAUCACGCGCGAGUCAGGGAGAGCGACGUAUGCGCAGAUCCCGCGUGACAGAAACGUUGCCGUCGGCGCCUUCACCUCACAUGUGCGACGAGCUCUCAUGGCGAGGAAAGAGAGGGAGGACUUCAGCGCCCGUAUCCCGCUAGGCCGUGUUGUGCGGGAUGAACACGUUGACCCCGAGAGCGGCUUGCCCGUGGCGACGGCGUCUCUGUGGGCGACGUCGUCUUUUUCCAGUACGACGAGGGAUGGGCUGGUGGGUAGCUUGCACGACGAGUACUCACACUCUGGCUUAGAGAGCGGUGAAGGUGGCCGGACCGAUUGCUUGCGUCGCGGCGUCGAUCACCGCGCGAAGCUGUGUGGCAUCUUUUGAAGCGGACGUGCUGUCUUGUGCUGCCCCACUGUGUCUGAAAGGGAGAAGGGAGCGUGAAGAGAGAAAGGAGGGGGCCACUUCCUCGACACACACACACACGCACACACAUACAUGUACCCAAACACGCACGAAGACAUCGCUAGCGGGUCGUGCGGGCCGAGUGUUUGUGUGUGUGUGUGCGUGAGGGUGCUCUUUGCUUUAUGGUGCUUGCUUCGGAAGGCCUGUAUAUGUAUGUGUGUAUUUUAAGUCGCUUUCCCUGUUGUAGGCACAUUCUCAUGUCGGGGUUGCGCUUGCCCUUUUCUUUUGCUACUCGUUUUUCUUUUGAAUUUGCUUUUUGUUUAUUUUUAAGGAGUGGUGCCACUGUCUUGGCCCAGGUGCCGCCGAGCACGGCUCCUUUGUUUUGGGCGCCCUUUGUCUCUCUUUCUCGACUCAUCUAGCAGCAUCUGCCUCCUGUUCUACUCAGCACGCACCCCUCUCUUCGCCGCCGCCAUUCGUUUUCGGCCUCCUCUCUCUCUCUUCGAGCUCAUCUCUUUUGCUUUUAUGUGAUGUAGUGUGUCUCCUGGAGUCCCUUCACUUUGGGUCUAUCGGUGGACGACCGUCUCGUCUUACACCUCUCCACCGUCGCCUCUCACACGAUUUCGAAUGUGAACGCAGGGACGGUGGCUCUCUCUCUCUUGGGCUGGUGCUUGUACGGCGUAAGUGUGUAUGCACGUUGUGCACGUGUGCACAUGCACAUCCUUUCUUUUUCCCAUUGUGUUUCCGACGCCAAUGCGUUUGCUACGGCCAUUGCCUGACACGUUCUUUCGGUGCCUCUACGCGUCCCGCACGCGUACAUUAGAGCCCCUGCUGCAUCACACGAG
rnacentral:misc_RNA from 1 species